rnacentral:misc_RNA from 1 species
UCCUCUCUCAAGCCCCCCGGGUUUGGUGUUGGACCGCGUUGGCCUUCACGGGCCAACUGGUCUCAAAGACAAUGACGGCGUCCCAGGGACCCUCUUCGCACUGAGCUUUCCGGAGCACGCGUAGAGUUUCAAGGGCCCAGGGACCCGGUCACCUCCAAAAACAAAAUUUUUCA